AAUCAACGCUGGCGGCGUGCCUCAGACAUGCAAGUCGAACGAUUAAACUUUCCUUCGGGAAAGAUGUAAAGUGGCGCACGGGUGAGUAACACGUAGGUAAUGUACCUUUGGGUGGGGAAUAACCAUCGGAAACGAUGGCUAAUACCGCAUAAUGCAGCGGCAUCGCAAGAUGACAGUUGUUAAAGAUUUAUCGCCUAAAGAGCAGCCUGCGGCAGAUUAGGUAGNGGUAAGGUAAUGGCUUACCAAGCCUGCGAUCUGUAACCGACCUGAGAGGGUGGUCGGUCACACUGACACUGAAUAACGGGUCAGACUCCUACGGGAGGCAGCAGUCGGGAAUUUUGGGCAAUGGGCGAAAGCCUGACCCAGCAACGCCGCGUGAAGGACGAAGUC
rnacentral:rRNA from 1 species